UUUGAUGAUUUGAAAUGGAAUUGAAUGAAUAUUGCAUUAAGUUUUAAAAUUACAUUUCAAUUUAGUUCCAUAUUCUAUAUUUAUAUUCAGUGUCAAUAUGGUAGAUACAGUACUGCAUUCAUCCUUUACGUUAACUUCCUGAACAUAUGCCUAUGUGGGCUAACACAGUCUUCUGUCAUGCAUGUUCCGGAGAGUAUUAGCUUUCAGAAAUGGCAUAAGCUUAUUGCCCAAAAGAUUAAAACUCUAGAGCCACAUUUCUAGGAAGACAAUAAAUUCAACAUACCACAAUGGCUUCAGAAACCAACAGAAUCUGCUCCUUUGAUACCACUAGCUUCUGUUCACCACAGAGAGAGUUUGAUUUUAUCGGUCCUCCUCUACCUUUCCUGGUUUGCAAAGUACCAGGAUGUUGUUUUGAAUCUGAAUCUGGGGAGUACUGAAUUCAAAAACGUAAAUCAUUAGAGGUGUAGAAUAUCUACCUAUCCCGUUGUAAUUAGAUACUUAAUCUUUCUGCCUUGCCACUCCUAUGUUACUGUGUCUGGUAGACUUCUAAGAUUCAUUCAGAUGUAAUGGUGUGUGUGUGUGUGUGUGAGAGAGAGAGAGAGACACACGUCUCAGUGGAUACAGUCUGUAAGGAGGAGGACAGGAUUCACUCAGACAUUGCAUUUCUCCUCAAGAAACACGCCUUGCAACUGAUUAAUUUAACAUGGGGAACCAGAUAGUCUAUUUUUCUCUCCAAACAAACCCUCUCAGGCAGACACUAGUUUAGCCAAAAAGGCAUCCCUCCUAAACCAAAAGGUCGGUAGCUCCCAUACAGUUGAACUGAAUACUGAAACCAAAAAUAGACCAAACACUCAAUGUCUAAAUUCAAUAGAAUGUUUUUACAUUUCAGAUGGCAGGUUCAAGAGAAGAUUAUGCCAAAGAGAGGCAGCUGAAUGUGUACUCAACCUCAUUCAAAAAAUAUUUGUUAAUUGACAAUGUUGCAGGAUGUAUGGUUGCUUAUUUCAGAAAGCAGUGUUAGUUUUGAUCACUGCAGUGAUGGAGACAAUAGGCUGGCCUUGUUCCCAUGGGUUGGGAGAGAGCUGGCGCCAUGCUGUCUACUCAACUGGGUGAAUGUCCUCAUCAACGCCAUCUCUCUCCAAUCACACUAAUUACCCACAAGGGGAGAGAGACGGAAUGGAAUGAGACAGAACAGCUGUACACACACAUACAGAAAGAAGCACACACACAAAGACACAAACGCACAUAGGCACAUACAGACACAUCCAUGCACACAAAUGCACACAAACAGACACACACACACACAGGGUAAAAAGAGCAGAUCUCUCCUUUGCCUUAAUGAUGUGAUGUGUUUUUCACUUACCUGUAUGUAUGAGCCUACCAUCUACAUGAUGGAUUCUGGCUGGUGCAACGCACCAUGAGAUGUGCUUAUCUCUGCUACAGUGAUCUGAGUGGCUACUGCUUUGAUGCGUUUAGAUCAAGAGAAUCUGCCAGGACUGAAUGGGAUGGGUGGGAGCCGAGCAGCAUCAGUUCCAGUUUUUCGUCACUGGUCAUUUGGACAUAUCAGGAUUGGGCAAAGACAGAGAGCUUGCUUUUGCGAGGGUGGAGACUUUUUGCCGGAACUCUCCAUUUCAAACACGUACGAACACAGAAGUUUAUAAAGCAGCUGACCAAAUCACGUGAGAUUUUACUUCUGGGUUAGCAAAGAUUACAGCAGUACUGCUGGACAGCAGCUCACACACUGCUUGUAGUUUACCACAGUCACAGUUGCGCCCCAAUUGGCACCCUAUUCCCUAUAUAGUGCAUUUAUUUUGACCAGGGCUCAUAGGGAAUAGGGUGCCACACACAAUGCUCUCUGAUACAGUGCUGAAGGAUCAGUUAAUCUCUUGUGUGGACCUCCUUGUACAUAGUACAGUUAUGUUUGGUUGGUUCUCUGUAUAACUUUGUUGUUUCUUUGAAAUGUCAUUGUUAAGCAUACCAGAUGAACUCAUACUGCAGGGGUCGGCAACAGGUGAGCCACGGGCCAAAACCUGUCCACAAGUGAUUUCCCCCCACAAUUAAGGUAUGUAAUUAAUGCUAUUUUCAAAUACAAUCUCUUUUGGGGCUUAGUUGUGGUCAAUUUGCAGCAUACAGAUUAUUAUUAUUAGGUUCCGGCCCUCCAACCAUACGCUUCGGCAAAAAUUGUCCCACGGCUGAAUCUAGUUGCCUACCCCUGCCAUGCUGCAAUGUUACAAACACUUGCUCAUUUACUGCUACUCCACAUGGCUUGGCUUGUGUGGUCUGUGUUGGUCUCUGUUGUACAUUUUGUUUUGAAUACAUCUGUCACGCUAAACAGCACAUGAAAGCAAUUGAACAUAUCCAACUAUUGCAGCUGAUGUGGUUUACAAGCUGCUGGAGGGAGAAAUGCUGCAACUUGGUCUCAGAGCAUUUCGUAUUAUUCUAUACGAGACACUCCAUUUAGCAUAAUAUGUUACGUAUGUAUGUUCGUAUGUAUGUAUUAAUUUGUGGACUUCCAUUAUCCAUUUUGUGUGAUAUGUUAUGAAUUACAAUUGUUAUAAGUUACCCAUUGCAAUUCAUACAAUAUAUUAAGAAUUUGUAAUAUGUAUGAUAUGUUACGAUUUCCAAUUUGUUGUGGCUAUCAUUAGCUAGGUGGCUAGGUGGCUAAUUCAAACAUUAGCUAGGUGGCUAAUGUUUGCUAGGCUAUGGGUGAGUGGUUAGGGUUAAGGUUAGGAGUUAGGUUAUAGGGUUACGGUUUAGGAGUUAGGUUAAAGGGUUAAGGUUAGGGUUAGGAGAAAGGAUAGCUAACAUGCUAAGUAGUUGAAAGUAGGAUGUAGUUGCAAAGUUACUAAUUAGCUCAAAUGUUUACGUUGUCCAUGAUGAGAUUCGAAUACGCAACUUUUGGUUUGCUAGACAUUUGCGUUAUUUUUGCCUUAAGUAACCUUUUGUCUUAUGUAACCAUACCAGUGGAGUCUUGUGGGAGGAGCUAUAGGACAGGCUGAUUGUAAUGACUGGAAUGGAAUUAAUGGAACGGUAUCAAACAUAUGGAAACAACAUGUUAGACUCCGUUUCAUUUAUACAAUUCCAGCCAUUGCAAUGAGCUCAUCCUCCUAUAGCUCAUCCCACCAGCCUCCACUGAACCAUACCAAAUGUUACAUAUCAUACUAAUUUUAGUGUCCUGGAUUUACAUGCACUGUUAUAUCUAGUCUAUGAGACCAGGAUGGGAGAAAUGGUAAGAUGAACCAUUGAACAAAACAACUUUGUUGUUUGUAUUGCACUGAUCUAUCAAAUGGACUUCACUUGUCCUGCUGCUGACUUGUCUGAGGCACUGGUGAACAUUUCUGAACACUCUGUCAGACAAUUACCCUGAAGGACUGAACUAUUAGCCCAGUAUGCAGCAUCCCUGGUGGAAGAUCUCUGUUUUCAACAGAGCAGCAUGUAUUACUGUCCAGUUUCCACAUUAUAUCCUCUACCUGACUGAGUCCCCUGCAUUGGCCAUUAUCAGCAACUAUCCCAAACCACCUCUGUUACACCACUUACUCUCUCGGAUUAUGCUUUCAUAAGUGUUAUUAUGUGUUAUUUCAGACAUGUGUAUUUCAUAUGUAUUUGUUACUCUUGUUGAGAGAUCGACAUUGUGAACGCACUUAUUACAGUCGUGUCAAGAUAUUUAUUUUAGCAGGAUUCUUCAGUAAAGAAAAAUGUAAAAAGAGCAAAGGUAUUUACAGUGUUCGUAUUGCUUUACACUAAACCCACUAUCUCUGAUGUACAUAUUCAGGUGUUUUCUGGGGUUUCUUUUGCCUUUUAACGCAUAGCUUUGUUGUUUGUUGUUUUCAUGCAAAUCUCAAUAUCGUGUUACUGUUUUGAAUACGUUUGCUCAUAUUAUUGCUACUAUUUUAAUCCAACAUCAGUUUGUCGAGAAUAUUGUAGCCUAUAGUAUUUAGUAUGACUUCAAACAAAGAAUCUAAACAAUGUUUAAGUGUAGAAAAAGUUUAAAUAUCCCCCCCAAAAUAAUGUUGGGGAAUUACUAAAACAACACAGACAACAGUUCGCUCUGGGAUUGGCAUGGUCUCAUUAUAAUUCCUGACCUCCAGUAGAGACCUCACCACACAGAUAAAAGGAGAGAAGAGGGAGAGGAGAAGGAUCGGCGAGUGGAGAGCCCUGUGUCAGAGUAAGUGUGUUUGUGUUUGGACUGGACCUUUGUUUUUUGGUCUGUAAAAGGAGAGCAGAGGGCCGUCUGUGCGUAUUAAACACCAGUCCAACUGCACGGGUCUGGACAGAGUGCGUCUGUCCACGUUUCUGUAGACCUGCCAGAACAGCAGUGACUCACAGGCCAUGUAAUUUAUCCGUAAAUUGGGAUACAUUCCAAAUGGCAGCCAUAUGUGCCCUGGUCAAACGCAGAGCUCUAUAAAGGGAAUAGAGUGCAAAUCUCAGACAUGGGCUUGGCUUUCGGGAACCAGUCUAUUUAAGAAUCAUCUGACCGUAACAAUCUAUCCUAUUUCAAGGAAAAUAUAAAAAUAUGACAUACCUGAAUGUUCCUGAUGAUACUUUUUACAGCAUUGUAAGGUGUUUUUGUGAGGAGUGUGUUGGUUGUAGAGUGAGCUAACCGUAGCCCGAUCCUUGAAUUGCCUCAGUUGCAAAUGCAUUAGGAGACAGAAGUGAAGUUGACAGAUGAACAGAAUAGGCAACGAGGAGAUACAAAAUGAUAUUGACAGCAUGAAGAGAGUGAUAGAGAAGAUGGAGACAGAGAGACUGACCGAGGAGAAAAGGUGACGGGGAGUAUAGAGGAACCCAUGCAGAGACUGAUUAUCACGUCUGGAUCACCCUCUCUGUUCGAAAGCCAGACUGAUCUGCAGCUCAUGUAAAUAAAUCCUGAUUUCCUCAUUCACUUAUCUCACUUCUUCUCAGAAGCCUAUCACCCCACUCACAGAGAAAUGUGAGAGAGGCUGGCAACAGACAGACUAGAAGCUAGAUUCUUUCCCAGAGAACAGGUGUGUGUGGCUCUAGUGGCCUGAGCGUCCGUGCAGUGAUUAGUGUCGGUGUGCCUAGUUUGCGGUUCAGAAAGUUGCAAGAAAUACAAAUCGCUGAUGCAUUCUUUAAUAUUCUUUACAUGGAGGCUUCAGAUUGAACUAAUAUUCACUUGCUUUUUUCUCGAGGGCACAACAAUUAUUAUCUGGGGUGAUUUAUUUUCGUGGUCACACUGGUGCUCCCAAACUAAAUGUCAGGUCGAAAAGCAAAAUAUCUAGGAGCAUAUGCGACUAAAAUGGUUGCACUUUAGAGCCCUGAGUGGCAGGUGGUGGAGAGCGGUAGGGGUUCCGCUUUCCCUUAUCAAGCACAUCUUUCAUUAUCAUACAUUAUCGUGUGAUCAUGCAGUGUAAGUGGAUCUAUGUUCGUACUUGUGUUCUUCCUUUCUUUCUCUGUCUCAUCUUGAUGUGCAUAAGAAGGGACUUGAUCUGAGGGCCCUUAGAUGGUACCGUAUGUCUCUCUUCAGAUGUUCUGCUCUGAUUGUCGUAAAGGUUUGUGCUGUUGUGGUUCCCUCAAACAAUGUACAAACUGUAUUGAAAUGAAACAACCACCAAUAAAGGCUCCUUUUGUUGAG
ensembl:lncRNA